UGAGGAAUAUUGGUCAAUGGGCGAAAGCCUGAACCAGCGACGCCGCGUGAGUGAUGAAGGCCUUCGGGUUGUAAAGCUCUGUGGGGAGGGGCGAAAACGGCCGAGUCGAAUAAGCUCGGUCCUUGACGGUACCUCCUUAGCAAGCACCGGCUAACUCUGUGCCAGCAGCCGCGGUAAUACAGAGGGUGCAAACGUUGCUCGGAAUUACUGGGCGUAAAGCGCGUGUAGGCGGACAAGUAAGUCCGAUGUGAAAUCCCUGGGCUCAACCCAGGAACUGCAUCGGAAACUGCUCGUCUUGAGUGGUGGAGAGGGAAGUGGAAUUCCUGGUGUAGAGGUGAAAUUCGUAGAUAUCAGGAGGAACAUCGGUGGCGAAGGCGGCUUCCUGGACACCUACUGACGC
rnacentral:rRNA from 1 species